GAUGAACGCUGGCGGCGUGCCUAAUACAUGCAAGUCGAGCGAACGGACGAGAAGCUUGCUUCUCUGAUGUUAGCGGCGGACGGGUGAGUAACACGUGGAUAACCUACCUAUAAGACUGGGAUAACUUCGGGAAACCGGAGCUAAUACCGGAUGAUAUUUUGAACCGCAUGGUUAAAAAGUGAAAGACGGUCUUGCUGUCACUUAUAGAUGGAUCCGCGCUGCAUUAGCUAGUUGGUAAGGUAAUGGCUUACCAAGGCAACGAUGCAUAGCCGACCUGAGAGGGUGAUCGGCCACACUGGAACUGAGACACGGUCCAGACUCCUACGGGAGGCAGCAGUAGGGAAUCUUCCGCAAUGGGCGAAAGCCUGACGGAGCAACGCCGCGUGAGUGAUGAAGGUCUUCGGAUCGUAAAACUCUGUUAUUAGGGAAGAACAUAUGUGUAAGUAACUGUGCACAUCUUGACGGUACCUAAUCAGAAAGCCACGGCUAACUACGUG
rnacentral:rRNA from 1 species